rnacentral:rRNA from 1 species
AUUGAACGCUGGCGGCAGGCCUAACACAUGCAAGUCGAACGAGUGGCGGACGGGUGAGUAGUGUCUGGGAAACUGCCCGAUGGAGGGGGAUAACUACUGGAAACGGGAGCUAAUACCGCAUACCAUCGAAUGUGCCCAGCUGGGAUGAGCUAGUAGUUGGGGUAACGGCUCACCUAGGCGACGAUCCCUAGCUGGUCUGAGAGGAUGACCAUCCACACUGGAAGUGAGACACGGUCCAGACUCCUACGGGAGGCAGCAGUGGGGAAUAUUGGACAAUGGGCGCAAGCCUGAUGCAGCCAUGCCGCGUGUAGGACGAAGGCCUUCGGGUUGUAAAGUACUUGCAGAUAGGAGGCGUUACUCGCAGAAGAAGCACCGGCUAACUCCGUGACAGCAGCCGCGGUAAUUC